AGCGAACGCUGGCGGCAGGCUUAACACAUGCAAGUCGAGCGGGCAUCUUCGGAUGUCAGCGGCAGACGGGUGAGUAACACGUGGGAACGUACCCUUCGGUUCGGAACAACUCUGGGAAACUGGAGCUAAUACCGGAUACGCCCUUAUGGGGAAAGGUUUACUGCCGAAGGAUCGGCCCGCGUCUGAUUAGCUAGUUGGUGGGGUAACGGCCUACCAAGGCGACGAUCAGUAGCUGGUCUGAGAGGAUGAUCAGCCACACUGGGACUGAGACACGGCCCAGACUCCUAUGGGAGGCAGCAGUGGGGAAUAUUGGACAAUGGGCGCAAGCCUGAUCCAGCCAUGCCGCGUGAGUGAUGAAGGCCUUAGGGUUGUAAAGCUCUUUUGUCCGGGACGAUAAUGACGGUACCGGAAGAAUAAGCCCCGGCUAACUUCGUG
rnacentral:rRNA from 1 species